ACCCCUGCUAGCACCACCCAUUGCUAUCUACUAUCACACUGCUCAUGGAGGAGAGAAAAGCUAAUAUACCACAUUCAUGCAACAGAAAGUUGAAUGAAACCUUUGAACACAGAUCUAAUAUUCAUCUUCAGAAAUAUCUUUUAAAAGAAAGAGGAAAAAAACCCUGACACAAUAUCACCAGUCAAAACUUGUUAAAUAAUUUUAUUGACUCAUUUGAUAGGAUUGUUUGCAAUAAAACCUGAACUCAAUAGAAUAUUUGUAGAUUUUUUUUCUCUCCAUUGGACAGCUUAUUUGUCCUCUCUGUGAAAUGGCAGAAUGGUGUCUGUCUUAAAUAAUAAGGCCCAGAAGUCCUCCAACAUUCCAGCUGGAGGCCUGGUGGCAACCUUACAGUCUAUUGGUAUGACAGGAUUAGGAUGGUUUGGAACUGGAACAGUGGCUGGUAUUGGAAGUAUAGUAGGGUUGAUGAUAUCAAGCAUUUGUAAUGUAACUGUAAAAAUAGAAGGCAGUCCAUAGCACAGACAAGGAAUAUACUUUUCAUUCCAGUAGAGUUAAAGUCAUGCUGUUCUUAUAUAAUAUAAUCAUGUCUUAAAGAGUAGAUUCUGAAAUUCAAACAUGUAUAAUCUGAUUAAGAAUGAAAGAAACAUUAUUUUUUUGCUGUGAACAUGUCUUGUUAAAGGUCAUUGUGAUGUGUGGAUAUUGCUGCAGGCAUUUUCUAAAUUUUGAGGGAAUGCUAUUUCUACUCUUCAUUCUGAGAGAGCAGAAUAAAGAAAACUUUGUACGUGUGUGCAUCAGUUGUAAAACUUCAACCUGUACUCAAUAAAUAAAUAAGUAAAUAAUAUAUCAAUCAAUAAAGAAAAAGUGUUUUAAUAUAUUGUGGUAUUUGUUUUGUCUUUGCUGAUACAUUUGGGGAAAUAAUUGGGACCCAGGAAACAUUAGACCCUUAAGAGUCAUGUUGCUAAGUCUUGUACUUUUCAGGACAUAGUGGUUACCUUACAAACCUUUCCAAGUAUGUCUCCAUUGUUUAUGAAAUUUAAUGGGUACAAACGUUCAUGUAACUUAUUAAAUACUAAGUAUUUUUCAUAAUAAAGCCUGGCUCUGGAGUAUAUUUAGAAAGUUCCAAAAAAAAAAGAUAUCCAUUAAGUUUUUUAAAAGUUCCAAAAAAAUACCAUCUAAGUUCUCCAGGAAAGUACCUGGAAUGCUGCAAUAUGUAACAUGGAAGAUCCUCUUAAGUCUAAAGUAGCUAGGUCCCAGUAAGGUUGCAGAAAUGAACCAUUAAGAGUUGAGGUAAAAUAUAGAUUGUUCACUUAUGCUGAAGUGUUGGCACCUAACAAUUGUUGUAAACCUAUGUACCCCUGCUGGUUGUAUGUGACCAUCACAUCCAACCAGUUACUAAUAUGCAGAAGAAACUAAGAUGUGCAAUAGCCUGAACCUGAUAAAAAGUAUUUAUUCCUAUUGUGCUGCAGAUGCUUCAUAAACAUACAAUUAUUUUUUUGUGGCUCACUUCUUGUUGAAAUGAUUUAAAAGAGCCAGUGAAGGUCCAACCAAUCCAGUAUGCAGAGAAAAAGCAGACAUGUCAAUGCAAAAGAGCUAAAAGUAGUUAAUUAUAUGUGUUAUAUUUUAUUGUUG